AUUGAACGCUGGCGGCAUGCCUUACACAUGCAAGUCGAACGGCAGCACGGGAGCAAUCCUGGUGGCGAGUGGCGAACGGGUGAGUAAUAUAUCGGAACGUGCCCAGUCGUGGGGAUAACGUAGCGAAAGCUACGCUAAUACCGCAUACGAUCUAUGGAUGAAAGCGGGGGAUCGCAAGACCUCGCGCGAUUGGAGCGGCCGAUAUCAGAUUAGGUAGUUGGUGAGGUAAAGGCUCACCAAGCCGACGAUCUGUAGCUGGUCUGAGAGGACGACCAGCCACACUGGGACUGAGACACGGCCCAGACUCCUACGGGAGGCAGCAGUGGGAAUUUUGGACAAUGGGCGCAAGCCUGAUCCAGCAAUGCCGCGUGCAGGAUGAAGGCCUCGGUU
rnacentral:rRNA from 1 species